rnacentral:rRNA from 1 species
GUGCCAGCAGCCGCGGUAAUGCGUAGGUGGCGAGCGUUGUCCGGAUUUACUGGGCGUAAAGCGCGCGCAGGCGGGCUGGUCAGUCCGGGGUGAAAACUCACGGCUCAACUGUGAGAGGUCCCCGGAUACUGCCAUUCUUGAGGCACCUAGAGGAGAGUGGAAUUCCCGGUGUAGUGGUGGAAUGCGUAGAUAUCGGGAGGAACACCAGUGGCGAAAGCGACUCUCUGGGGGCGACCUGACGCUGAGGCGCGAAAGCGUGGGGAGCGAACCGGAUUAGAUACCCGGGUAGUCCACGCCGUAAACGAUGAGCACUAGCUGUCGGGGGUAUCGACCCCCUCGGUAGCGAAGCUAACGCGAUAUGUGCUCCGCCUGGGGACUACGGCCGCAAGGCUAAAACUCAAAGAAAUUGGCGG